rnacentral:lncRNA from 1 species
AUGAACUGAACAAACUUGCGUGGCACCACAUUGAUGACAGGCUGUCAUCUGCUCAACAGUUCCACUGAGAUGGAAUGGUGCUUCCACACUCAUCUCUCAUCUCUCGUUGCUUUCAUAAAAUUACUGCUUUUAUAACACUUGGAUUUUUCCGAAUGAAAGAUUGUUUCGAGGAAGAAACAGUAAAAUAAAAAAGAAAAAGAAAAAGAAUAAUUUCAACAGGAAGGAAAGUAAUAAGCAAUCAAAAGAAGGAGCGAGUGAAUUAGAGAAGUAGCAGAAGACCAUAAACAGCAGCAACAACAACAACAAUAAUUGAUACAUAUAUAUAAAAUUUUUUUUUAUUCAAUUUUGGAAGUCAACUGUUCUCUCGGCUGAAAGUUCAAAAAUAGAAUAAAAGGAACCGUUUCACUGACUUAGUAAUAGUCACGGCUGUCAAAAUUUUCCAUUUUCACUUUCUUAGAACUCGAAUUAUUUUUUCACCUGUAUAAGAAAUCUCUGCUGGCUUUGAGUCAUUGCAGAGGUUAUUAUACAUACACCCAUACACACCUCUCUUUCCUUCUCUCUCUCUCUCUCUCUCUGCAUGUG